AAGGGCGUUGAAGCAUGAUCGUAAGGACAUGUGGAGCGCUUAGAAGUGAGAAUGCCGGUGUGAGUAGCGAAAGACGGGUGAGAAUCCCGUCCACCGAUUGACUAAGGUUUCCAGAGGAAGGCUCGUCCGCUCUGGGUUAGUCGGGUCCUAAGCUGAGGCCGACAGGCGUAGGCGAUGGAUAACAGGUUGAUAUUCCUGUACCACCUAUAAUCGUUUUAAUCGAUGGGGGGACGCAGUAGGAUAGGCGAAGCGUGCGAUUGGAUUGCACGUCUAAGCAGUAAGGCUGAGUAUUAGGCAAAUCCGGUACUCAUUAAGGCUGAGCUGUGAUGGGGAGAAGACAUUGUGUCUUCGAGUCGUUGAUUUCACACUGCCGAGAAAAGCCUCUAGAUAGAAAAUAGGUGCCCGUACCGCAAACCGACACAGGUAGUCAAGAUGAGAAUUCUAAGGUGAGCGAGCGAACUCUCGUUAAGGAACUCGGCAAAAUGACCCCGUAACUUCGGGAGAAGGGGUGCUCUUUAGGGUUAACGCCCAGAAGAGCCGCAGUGAAUAGGCCCAAGCGACUGUUUAUCAAAAACACAGGUCUCUGCUAAACCGUAAGGUGAUGUAUAGGGGCUGACGCCUGCCCGGUGCUGGAAGGUUAAGAGGAGUGGUUAGCUUCUGCGAAGCUACGAAUCGAAGCCCCAGUAAACGGCGGCCGUAACUAUAACGGUCCUAAGGUAGCGAAAUUCCUUGUCGGGUAAGUUCCGACCCGCACGAAAGGCGUAACGAUUUGGGCACUGUCUCAAC
rnacentral:rRNA from 1 species